CCGUACAUGGAGGGCAUGGAUGAAUUUCUAUAGUAUGCAGAGGGCAUCGAACUAUAGAAAGGAGACUGUAUAGGUUUAGAGCGUAGCAAUACGUUGAAGGCCGAGGAUGGUAAUUACAGUGGUCAGUAAUUCAACAUUCUUUUUCAGCAUCCGGCUGACGGCGACGGGAGCUGGGAUGCUGGAGGUGCCGGGGGUUGACAGAGAGAAAAAGAGGUCGCAUACGGCGCUUCGUCAACGAACCAAAGAUCAAAUCUGGCCAUUUCUCACACACACGCAGAGGCAAUCAACCGACAAAAAAAAAAGAAGAUAUUAAAGAAACAAUUUUUUUAUAUUUGAAAAAGUUUAAAGAGCUGGAAAACUUAACAAAAUCCUAGAAAUACAAUAAUGUUUGAAUAUCAAAUGCUACAAAACCAGCUUCGAAUACACGAGAAGAAUAGUAAAAGUUGAAAAGUCCAGCACACUAGCAAUGAUGAGGUUAAAACUAAAAAUCAUCAAACAAAUUUAUUAUCGGCCUUUGGUAGGGUUGUACGGUACCGGCAUCCGGCUGACGGCGACGGGAGCUGGGAUGCUGGAGGUGCCGGGGGUUGACAGAGAGAAAAAGAGGUCGCAUACGGCGCUUCGUCAACGAACCAAAGAUCAAAUCUGGCCAUUUCUCACACACACGCAGAGGCAAUCAACCGACAAAAAAAAAAGAAGAUAUUAAAGAAACAAUUUUUUUAUAUUUGAAAAAGUUUAAAGAGCUGGAAAACUUAACAAAAUCCUAGAAAUACAAUAAUGUUUGAAUAUCAAAUGCUACAAAACCAGCUUCGAAUACACGAGAAGAAUAGAAAAAGUUGAAAAGUCCAGCACACUAGCAAUGAUGAGGUUAAAACUAAAAAUCAUCAAACAAAUUUAUUAUCGGCCUUUGGUAGGGUUGUACGGUACCGGGUGAGUGCUUAAACCGUACAUGGAGGGCAUGGUUGAAUUUCUAUAGUAUGCAGAGGGCAUCGAACUAUAGAAAGGAGACUGUAUAGGUUUAGAGCGUAGCAAUACGUUGAAGGCCGAGGAUGGUAAUUACAGUGGUCAGUAAUUCAACAUUCUUUUUCAGCAUCCGGCUGACGGCGACGGGAGCUGGGAUGCUGGAGGUGCCGGGGGUUGACAGAGAGAAAAAGAGGUCGCAUACGGCGCUUCGUCAACGAACCAAAGAUCAAAUCUGGCCAUUUCUCACACACACGCAGAGGCAAUCAACUGACAAAAAAAAAAGAAGAUAUUAAAGAAACAAUUUUUUUAUAUUUGAAAAAGUUUAAAGAGCUGGAAAACUUAACAAAAUCCUAGAAAUAAAAUAAUGUUUGAAUAUCAAAUGCUACAAAACCAGCUUCGAAUACACGAGAAGAAUAGUAAAAGUUGAAAAGUCCAGCACACUAGCAAUGAUGAGGUUAAAACUAAAAAUCAUCAAACAAAUUUAUUAUCGGCCUUUGGUAGGGUUGUACGGUACCGGCAUCCGGCUGACGGCGACGGGAGCUGGGAUGCUGGAGGUGCCGGGGGUUGACAGAGAGAAAAAGAGGUCGCAUACGGCGCUUCGUCAACGAACCAAAGAUCAAAUCUGGCCAUUUCUCACACACACGCAGAGGCAA